AUUGAACGCUGGCGGCAGGCCUAACACAUGCAAGUCGAGCGAGCGGCGGACGGGUGAGUAAUGUAUGGGGAUCUGCCCGAUAGCGGGGGAUAACUACUGGAAAGGUGGCUAAUACCGCAUACUAUUGGAGCGGCCGAUAUCGGAUUAGCUAGUUGGUGGGGUAACGGCUCACCAAGGCGACGAUCCGUAGCUGGUUUGAGAGGACGACCAGCCACACUGGGACUGAGACACGGCCCAGACUCCUACGGGAGGCAGCAGUGGGGAAUUUUGGACAAUGGGGGAAACCCUGAUCCAGCCAUCCCGCGUGUGCGAUGAAGUCCUUCGGGUUGUAAAGCACUUUUGGCAGGAAAGCGGUACCUGCAGAAUAAGCACCGGCUAACUACGUGCCAGCCGCCGCGGUAAUUC
rnacentral:rRNA from 1 species